rnacentral:rRNA from 1 species
AUUGAACGCUGGCGGCAUGCUUUACACAUGCAAGUCGAACGGCAGCGCGGGCUUCGGCCUGGCGGCGAGUGGCGAACGGGUGAGUAAUACAUCGGAACGUGCCCAGUAGUGGGGGAUAGCUCGGCGAAAGCCGGAUUAAUACCGCAUACGACCUGAGGGUGAAAGCGGGGGAUCUUCGGACCUCGCGCUAUUGGAGCGGCCGAUGGCAGACUAGCUAGUUGGUGGGGUAAAGGCCUACCAAGGCGACGAUCCGUAGCUGGUCUGAGAGGACGAGCAGCCACCUGGGGACUGAGACGCGCCCCAGACUCCUACGGGAGGCAGCAGUGGGGAAUGGUGGACAAUGGGGGAAAGCCUGAUCCAGCAAUGCCGCGUGUGUGAUGAAGGCCUUCGGUUUGUAAAGCACUUUUGGCGGGAACGAAAAGGACUGUGCCAAUACCACGGUUCGAUGACGGUACCCGCAGAAUAAGCACCGGCUAACUACGUG